CACGUCACACCUUAACAAGUGGUAAUCACAACACACUAGUAUAAACAGUACGAGGGAAAAUACAUUAAUGUUGAGGCAGUGGGAGAUCUGGGCUGGCUGGUCCACAGGUGGGGCUGGCUGGUCCACAGGUGGGGCUGGCUGGUCCACAGGUGGGGCUGGCUGGUCCACAGGUGGGGCUGGCUGGUCCACAGGUGGGGCUGGCUGGUCCACAGGUGGAGCAGGCCACGGCGAUAGACACCUCAGAGAGCAGCGGGAGCCACCAGGUCACGAUCAAGACACAG